rnacentral:rRNA from 1 species
AUUGAACGCUGGCGGCAUGCCUUACACAUGCAAGUCGAACGGUAACAGGUCUUCGGAUGCUGACGAGUGGCGAACGGGUGGGUAAUACAUCGGAACGUGCCCAGACGUGGGGGAUAACGAGGCGAAAGCUUUGCUAAUACCGCAUACGAUCUAAGGAUGAAAGCAGGGGACCGCAAGGCCUUGUGCGUUUGGAGCGGCCGAUGGCAGAUUAGGUAGUUGGUGGGAUAAAAGCUUACCAAGCCGACGAUCUGUAGCUGGUCUGAGAGGACGACCAGCCACACUGGGACUGAGACACGGCCCAGACUCCUACGGGAGGCAGCAGUGGGGAAUUUUGGACAAUGGGCGAAAGCCUGAUCCAGCAAUGCCGCGUGCAGGAUGAAGGCCUUCGGGUUGUAAACUGCUUUUGUACGGAACGAAAAGGCUCUGGCUAAUACCUGGGGCACAUGACGGUACCGUAAGAAUAAGCACCGGCUAACUACGUG